rnacentral:rRNA from 1 species
GACGAACGCUGGCGGCGUGCUUAACACAUGCAAGUCGAACGAAGUGGCGAACGGGUGAGUAAUACGUGGGUAACCUGCCCUCAUUUUUGGGAUAAGCCUUGGAAACGGGGUCUAAUACCGAAUAAAGGGGGAUGGGCUCGCGGCCUAUGAGCUUGUUGGUGGGGUGACGGAGUACCAAGGCGGUGACGGGUUGCAGGCCUGAGAGGCUGACCUGGCACAUGGGGACGGAGAUAAGGCCCAGAGUACGACGGGAGGCAGAAGUUUGGGAUAUUGCAGAAUGGGUGAAAGCCUGAUGCAGCGACACCGCGUGAGGGAUGAAGGCUUUCGGGUUGUAAUGCUCUUUCGCUAUCGAGCGGGUAGGUGGAGAAGAAGCACCGGCUAACUACGUGCCAGCAGCCGCGGUAAUUC